ensembl:lncRNA
GUCAGGGUAGCACACCAAACACACGCCCUGGGAGAACAUGAAGAGAUAAACACCUUUAUCCCAAUCCUCACGUUGACAGGGUAUAAUGUUCAGAGCAACAAAUUGUUUUGUUGAUUACAACCAAUGGUGGAUAAUGCUCAGAUUAGCUUUAGCCGAGACGUCGCCGACAUCUGUCUCCAUCUGUCUCCAUCUCGUUUCAGGUUGGUUUAUUCCGCUUUUUGUUUUGGUCUCAGACCUAUGUGUGUGUGUGUGUGUGUGCGCGUGUGUGUGCGUGUGUGCAGAAAGAGGGGUGAUUACUGGCAUGCUGCUCUAAGUGCAGGGAAAGGCACUUCAGGACACUUGCAAAACAGUGUUUCAUGGCCCGCGGCAAGUAGGCCCCAGCUCCGCACUACUGCCUCCUACGACCUCCUACGACCCCCUUCUUAUGGCCUCCUUCCUGUGGCCUCCUACGGACCCUUUCCUACGGCUUCCUUCUUAUGCCCUGCUUCCUAUGGCCUCCUAUGGCCUCCUACGGCCUCCUUCCUAUGGCCUUCUUCCUAUGGCCUUCUUCCUAUGGUCUCCUAUGGCCCCUCUCCUGUGGCCUCUCCUACUACCUCCUACGGCCUCUACUACAACCUCUCCUACGGCAUCACCUACAGCCUUCUACUGCCUCUCCUACUGCUUCUCCUACUGCCUCUCCUACUGCCUCUCCUACUGCCUCUCCUACCGCCUCUCCUACUGCCUCCCCUACCUUCUCUCCUACUGCCUCUCCUACUGACUCUCCUACCGCCUCUCCUACUGCCUCCCCUACCUUCUCUCCUACUGCCUCCCCUACUGCCUCUCCUACUGCCUCUCCUACUGCCUCUCCUACUGCCUCUCUUCCAGCCUCCCCUACUGCCUCUCCUACUGCCUCUCCUACCGCCUCUCCUACUGCCUCCCCUACCUUCUCUCCUACCCCCUCUCCUACCGCCUCUCCUACCGCCUCUCCUACCGCCUCUCCUACCGCCUCUCCUCCAGCCUCCCCUACUGCCUCUCCUACUGCCUCUCCUACUGCCUCCCCUACUGCCUCCCCUACUGCCUCUCCUACUGCCUCUCCUACCGCCUCUCCUACCGCCUCCCCUACCUUCUCUCCUACUGCCUCCCCUACCGCCUCUCCUACCGCCUCUCCUACUGCCUCUCCUACAGCCUCUCCUACCGCCUCUCCUACCGCCUCUCCUACCGCCUCCCCUACCAUCUCUCCUACAGCCUCUCCUACCGCCUCUCCUACCGCCUCUCCUACCGCCUCUCCUACCGCCUCUCCUACUGCCUCUCCUACUGCCUCUCCUACUGCCUCCCCUACCUUCUCUCCUACUGCCUCCCCUACCGCCUCUCCUACUGCCUCUCCUACUGCCUCUCCUACCGCCUCUCCUACCGCCUCCCCUACCUUCUCUCCUACUGCCUCCCCUACCGCCUCUCCUACCGCCUCUCCUACUGCCUCUCCUACAGCCUCUCCUACCGCCUCUCCUACCGCCUCUCCUACCGCCUCCCCUACCAUCUCUCCUACAGCCUCUCCUACCGCCUCUCCUACCGCCUCUCCUACCGCCUCUCCUACCGCCUCUCCUACUGCCUCUCCUACUGCCUCCCCUACCUUCUCUCCUACCGCCUCUCCUACCGCCUCUCCUACCGCCUCUCCUACUGCCUCUCCUACUGCCUCUCCUCCAGCCUCCCCUACUGCCUCUCCUACUGCCUCUCCUACUGCCUCCCCUACUGCCUCUCCUACCGCCUCUCCUACCGCCUCUCCUACUGCCUCCCCUACCUUCUCUCCUACCGCCUCCCCUACCGCCUCUCCUACCGCCUCUCCUACCGCCUCUCCUACAGCCUCUCCUACCGCCUCUCCUACCGCCUCUCCUACCGCCUCUCCUACUGCCUCUCCUACUGCCUCUCCUACUGCCUCUCCUACCGCCUCUCCUACUGCCUCUCCUACUGCCUCUCCUACUGCCUCUCCUCCAGCCUCUCCUCCAGCCUCUCCUACAGCCUCUCCUACUGCCUCUCCUACUGCCUCUCCUACUGCCUUUCCUACAGCCUCUCCUACCGCCUCCUGGAAGAGCUCUACGUAAACCUCCUCUGGGCGCCUCCAGACACCUUUCAUGACCCGGCUUGAACACGUUGCUGUCAAAUGAAUUAAGGAAGUGUCCGGUGAAUCCAUUGACAUUAGCGCCGAGGACGGGUGUGAGGUGACGGUGUCUGGGCUGAUGCGGUCUGAGCCACGGUUUUAGUGGAUUUGCAAGUGUUUCCUUUUGGAGUAAACGCUUACAUUGUCUUUUAAUUAAGGUAUAUUGGCAUCGCCUCGGGCAUGGUUAAAAAAGGCAUAAAAACAUGUAAUAAACGUGAUUGAAGAAUGAACCCCUGCAAAGUGGUGUAUUGGCAAGUGCGUUUUGCAGCGUGGGCCUCCUGUUGAGUAGAGGGGCGUUCUGUAGGCCUGGUGAAUCUGUAGUCCAGUGUUGAUCUUGCAGUUGUUUGCAUACUUAAAUAUUAUGCACUGAAUGAAAUAUGAUGUAAUUCUAUUAGAGAGGAUUAGAAACUCAAAGCACUAUGAACAUAUUGAUUUUGAAGCCAGGCUUAUAGCUCAACUGAUCAUGUCCAAUAGAGAAAGGUCACCAUCCUGCCUUCAU